UACGGGAGGCAGCAGUGGGGAAUAUUGCACAAUGGGGGAAACCCUGAUGCAGCGACGCCGCGUGAGCGAUGAAGUAUUUCGGUAUGUAAAGCUCUAUCAGCAGGGAAGAAAAUGACGGUACCUGACUAAGAAGCACCGGCUAAAUACGUGCCAGCAGCCGCGGUAAUACGUAUGGUGCAAGCGUUAUCCGGAUUUACUGGGUGUAAAGGGAGCGUAGACGGAGUGGCAAGUCUGAUGUGAAAACCCGGGGCUCAACCCCGGGACUGCAUUGGAAACUGUCAAUCUNGAGUACCGGAGAGGUAAGCGGAAUUCCUAGUGUAGCGGUGAAAUGCGUAGAUAUUAGGAGGAACACCAGUGGCGAAGGCGGCUUACUGGACGGUAACUGACGUUGAGGCUCGAAAGCGUGGGGAGCAAACAGGAUUAGAUACCCUGGUAGUCCACGCCGUAAACGAUGACUACUAGGUGUCGGGCAGCAAAGCUGUUCGGUGCCGCAGCAAACGCAAUAAGUAGUCCACCUGGGGAGUACGUUCGCAAGAAUGAAACUCAAAGGAAUUGACGGA
rnacentral:rRNA from 1 species